rnacentral:rRNA from 1 species
AUACGUAGGGGGCUAGCGUUAUCCGGAAUUACUGGGCGUAAAGGGUGCGUAGGUGGUUUCUUAAGUCAGAAGUGAAAGGCUACGGCUCAACCGUAGUAAGCUUUUGAAACUAAGAGACUUGAGUGCAGGAGAGGAGAGUAGAAUUCCUAGUGUAGCGGUGAAAUGCGUAGAUAUUAGGAGGAAUACCAGUUGCGAAGGCGGCUCUCUGGACUGUAACUGUCACUGAGGCACGAAAGCGUGGGGAGCAAACAGGAUUAGAUUCCCUGGUAGUCCACGCCGUAAACGAUGAGUACUAGCUGUCGGGGGUUACCCCCCUCGGUGGCGCAGCUAACGCAUUAAGUACUCCGCCUGGGAAGUACGCUCGCAAGAGUGAAACUCAAAGGAAUUGACGGGG